rnacentral:rRNA from 1 species
AGACGUCUACGUAGUUUGAUCAGUGGCUACGAGAACGAACGCUCGGCGGCGCGCCUAACACAUGCAAGUCGAACGAGAAUCCGGGGCAACCCGGUAGUAAAGUGGCAAACGGGUGAGGAAUACAUGGGUAACCUGCCCUUGAGAAGGGAAUAACCCGCCGAAAGGUGAGCUAAUACCCUAUACGCUAUCUUUUUUUCGAAAAGGAUAGGAAAGCCAGGUCGAGGACCUGGUACUCAAGGAGGGGCUCAUGUCCUAUCAGCUUGUUGGUGGGGUAACGGCCUACCAAGGCUACGACGGGUAGCUGGUCUGAGAGGAUGAUCAGCCACACUGGCACUGAGAUACGGGCCAGACUCCUACGGGAGGCAGCAGUGAGGAAUAUUGCGCAAUGGGCGAAAGCCUGACGCAGCGACGCCGCGUGGGGGAUGAAGGUUUUCGGAUUGUAAACCCCUUUCAUGAGGAAAGAUAAAGUGGGUAACCACUUAGACGGUACCUCAAGAAGAAGCCACGGCUAACUUCGUG